rnacentral:rRNA from 1 species
GAUGAACGCUGGCGGCGUGCCUAAUACAUGCAAGUCGAGCGAACGGACGAGAAGCUUGCUUUUCUGAUGUUAGCGGCGGACGGGUGAGUAACACGUGGAUAACCUACCUAUAAGACUGGGAUCAUUUCGGGAAACCGGAGCUAAUCCCGGAUGAUCUUUUGAACCGCAUGGUUCAAAAGUGAAAGACGGUCUUGCUGUCACUUAUAGAUGGAUCCGCGCUGCAUUAGCUAGUUGGUAAGGUAACGGCUUACCAAGGCAACGAUGCAUAGCCGACCUGAGAGGGUGAUCGGCCACACUGGAACGGAGACACGGUCCAGACGCCUACGGGAGGCAGCAGUAGGGAAUCGUACGCAAUGGGCGAAAGCCUGACGGAGCAACGCCGCGUGAGUGAUGAAGGUCUUCGGAUCGUAAAACUCUGUUAUUAGGGAAGAACAUAUGUGUAAGUAACUGUGCACAUCUUGACGGUACCUAAUCAGAAAGCCACGGCUAACUACGUG